CGGACGGGUGAGUAACGCGUGAGAAUCUGCCUACAGGACGGGGACAACAGUUGGAAACGACUGCUAAUACCCGAUGUGUCGAGAGGUGAAACAUUUAUGGCCUGUAGAUGAGCUCGCGUCUGAUUAGCUAGUUGGUGGGGUAAGGGCCUACCAAGGCGACGAUCAGUAGCUGGUCUGAGAGGAUGAUCAGCCACACUGGGACUGAGACACGGCCCAGACUCCUACGGGAGGCAGCAGUGGGGAAUUUUCCGCAAUGGGCGCAAGCCUGACGGAGCAACGCCGCGUGGGGGAGGAAGGUUUUUGGACUGUAAACCCCUUUUCUCAGGGAAGAAGAAAGUGACGGUACCUGAGGAAUAAGCCUCGGCUAAUUCCGUGCCAGCAGCCGCGGUAAUACGGGAGAGGCAAGCGUUAUCCGGAAUUAUUGGGCGUAAAGCGUCCGCAGGCGGUUAAUCAAGUCUGUUGUCAAAGCGUGGGGCUCAACCUCAUACAGGCAAUGGAAACUGAUUGACUAGAGUAUGGUAGGGGUAGCGGGAAUUCCAGGUGUAGCGGUGAAAUGCGUAGAUAUCUGGAAGAACACCAGCGGCGAAAGCGCGCUACUGGGCCAUAACUGACGCUCAUGGACGAAAGCUAGGGGAGCGAAAGGGAUUAGAUACCCCUGUAGUC
rnacentral:rRNA from 1 species